GAUGAAGAACGUAGUGAAAUGCGAUAAGUAAUGUGAAUUGCAGAAUUCAGUGAAUCAUCGAAUCUUUGAACGCACAUUGCGCCCCUUGGUAUUCCGAGGGGCAUGCCCGUUCGAGCGUCAUUAUACCCCUCAAGCCUAGCUUGGUGUUGGGGCCUGCUGUUACCGGCAGCCCUUAAAAUCAGUGGCGGUGCCAUCUGGCUCUAAGCGUAGUAAUACUUCUCGCUACAGGGUCCCGGUGGAUGCUUGCCAUCAACCCCUAAUUUUCUAUGGUUGACCUCGGAUCGGGUAGGGAUACCCGCUGAACUUAAGCAUAUCAUAAGCGGAGGA
rnacentral:misc_RNA from 1 species